AUUGAACGCUGGCGGCAGGCCUAACACAUGCAAGUCGAGCGAGCGGCGGACGGGUGAGUAAUGUCUGGGAACCUGCUUGAUGGAGGGGGAUAACUACUGGAAACGGUAGCUAAUACCGCAUACCAUCAGAUGUGCCUAUAUGGGAUUAGCUAGUAGGUUGGGUAACGGCCCACCUAGGCGACGAUCCCUAGCUGGUCUGAGAGGAUGACCAGCCACACUGGAACUGAGACACGGCCAAGACUCCUACGGGAGGCAGCAGUGGGGAAUAUUGGACAAGGGGCGAAAGCCUGAUGCAGCCAUGCCGCGUGUGGGAAGAAGGCCUUCGGGUUGUAAAGCACUUUAAGCGGGGAGGCGUUACCCGCAGAAGAAGCACCGGCUAACUCCGUGCCAGCAGCCGCGGUAAUAC
rnacentral:rRNA from 1 species